CCCCGGGGCGUUUCCAUUCUAAAUAUCUCUCUCCCUCGAUUCUCUCUCCACCUGCGCGACGUGUGGGUUGUUGCACUUCACUCACACUCAUACCAUUCCACGCUUUUUCUUUUCUUCUCAAUUUUCGCGAGAAAAUUGGUAAAUACGUGCUUAAUUAUUUGCUCUCUCGCUCUCUCUCUCAAGUGGUUUUGAUCACUUUCAUUGUAUGCCAAUCCUGCUCCAAUACCAUAGUAUCUGCGUGGUGCGUAUCUUGUGGUGUGCUUUGAUCCGAGGAACUGGGAAGAUCUCAAGUCUCUCUCGGAAAUUUGGUUUGUUUAAAUGAAGUCCACUAUGGCUCAGAAUCAGAGUAAUUGGGAAGCUGAUAAAAUGCUCGACGUUUACAUUUAUGAUUAUUUAAUAAAAAGAAAAUUAAACACAGCCGCCAAAGCUUUUAUGGCAGAAGGAAAAGUUUCCACGGAUCCAGUAGCAAUUGAUGCUCCUGGAGGAUUUCUUUUCGAGUGGUGGUCUGUCUUUUGGGAUAUAUUCAUCUCAAGGACAAAUGAGAAACAUUCAGAGGCUGCUGCAGCUUACAUUGAGACCCAGCAAACAAAGGCUAGAGAACAGCAUCUUCAAAUGCAGCAAUUGCAAAUAAUGCAGCAACGCAGUGCAGCUCAAUUACAGAGAAGAGACCCUAAUCAUCCUUCACUUGGUGGUUCCUUAAAUGCCAUGAAUUCUGAAGGAAUGUUGGGGCAGCCACCAGCAAGUGUGUUGGCCAUGAAAAUGUAUGAAGAACGAAUGAAACACCCUCAUUCAAUGGAUUCAGAGGCAUCUCCAACUCUUAUUGACGCCAACAGGAUGGCCCUUCUCAAAUCAGCAGCUAGUCAUCAAGGCCAGUUGGUUCAUGGAAAUUCAGGGAAUAUGUCCACUGCGUUGCAGCAAAUUCCAGGGUGGACUCCUCUGACCACUGAUAUCAAAGCAGAAGUUAAUAUAGGUGCCACUCCAAAGAGUCUGCCUAUGGAUUCCUCAGUUUAUCGACAAGCAAUUUUACAAUCAAAAUCUGGGCUAGGAAGUGCAGCAUUAAAUCAAGGAGUUACAAGUCUUCCACUGAAGGGUUGGCCUCUAACUGGAAUUGAUCAGCUAAGACCUAAUAUGGGUGUACAAGUUCCAAAGCCCAAUUUGACAACCCAAAACCAGUUUCUUUUGGCAUCACAACAACAGGUUUUGGCACAGGCUCAGGCACAAAAUAACCUUGGAAAUUCAAAUUAUGGUGAUAUGGAUCAACGUAGACUUUCUGGUCUUCCCCGAGGUAGCUUAAGUGCAAAGGAUGUUCAGUCUACAAGGAAUGAUGGAUCUACUUGCUCCCAAAUGCAGUCAGAUUCACCUAAGAUGAAGAUGGCCCAGUCGCAACAUUCAUUAUCUCAACAGCAGGAUCAAUUGCAGCAGCAGCAACUGCAGCAGACUAACAGAAAAAGAAAACAGCAUUCUUCUUCUGGAGCUGCCAAUAGCACUGGCACUGGUGGUAACACUGCUGUUCCUUCACCUAAUUCGCCACCAUCAACGCAUACACCUGGGGAUGGAUUAAAUACAGCAAGCAGCAUGCAGCAUGCUAAUAGUGUGCAAAAGAGCAUGAUGAUGUAUGGUACAGAGGCAACAGGAGGUCUUGCAUCAUCAUCAAAUUUGCUGGAGGACAUGGAACGAUUUGGGGAUGUUGGUGCUUUAGAAGAUAAUGUGGAAUCCUUUCUAUCAAAUGAUGGAGGAGAUGGUGGAAAUCUCUAUGGAACAAUAAAACCAAGUUCAGCUGAGCAACAAAAAGAGUCUCCGAAAGGCUUCACCUUUGCCGAGUUUGGGUGUAUAAGAACAAGGAACAGUAAAGUUACUUGUUGUCACUUUUCUUCUGAUGGAAAGUGGCUUGCCAGUGCUGGAGAUGACAUGAAGGCUGUCAUCUGGAACAUGGACACUUUACAGACAGAGAGCACUCCUGCAGAGCACAAAUCAGUUAUUUCAGAUAUCCGUUUUAGACCAAAUUCAUCUCAGUUGGCAACAGCCUCAAUCGAUAAAUCAGUGCGAUUAUGGGAUGCAACCAAUCCAAGCUAUUGUUUGCAACAAUAUAGUGGGCACACUUCAGCUAUAAUGUCUCUUGAUUUCCACCCUAAGAAGACUGAUAUUUUCUGCUUCUGUGAUGGUGAAAAUGAAAUUCGGUAUUGGAACAUUACUUCGUCCUCUUGCACCCGUGUAUCUAAGAGUAGGGUUCUAUUCAGCAAUGCGGGAUGCCCUCGCAUAACUUCUUGAAGUAUUUCCCUUACAAUCGGUUCUAUUUUCCAAAUUUUACUCUUAGUAAUUCCUAUGUUUGAAGGAAAAUGUUUUCGAAUUAGACCACAAAUUAGAAAUGUCUGGAAAAGUUCUAUUUUUAUUUUGCAAGGUAAUCCACAUCUUUGUUUCAGGGAGGUAGUGCACAAGUGAGGUUUCAACCUAGACUGGGACAUUUGCUGGCAGCAGCUUCUGAUAAAGUAGUGUCAAUUUUUGAUGUUGAAGCUGAUACACAAAUUUACUCCCUCCAGGGUCAUCCCGAACCAGUGAGCUAUAUUUGCUGGGACACUCAUGGUGAUGUCUUGGCAUCUGUGAGUCCACAUUUGGUGAAAGUUUGGAAUUUGGGCACAGGAGAAUGCAUGCAGGAGUUCGGCUCUGGCGUGAACCAAUUUCAUUCCUGUACUUUCCAUCCAAGUUAUUCAACUUUAUUGGUGAUUGGAGGAAUUUCGUCCUUAGAUUUAUGGAACAUGGCAGAGAACAAAAGCAUGACAAUUCCUGCACAUGACAAUAUCAUAUCUGCUUUGGCUCCGUCUCCUGCCACUAGAAUGGUUGCCUCUGCAAGUCAUGACAACUGUGUUAAACUGUGGAAAUAAAACCCAGGUUUUAGGUUUUAAUAUCGCCUAGAUUCUUUGUUAGUAUUCCUUUAUCCUAAAUGAUUCAGAGAUCUAUAUUGAAAGCAAAAAGGUAUCUGAAUUUAUCUAUUCAAGUUUCUUACCACUAGCUUAAUCCUACUUCCUCUGAAUAAGGUAUACUAGACUACUAGUACACGAUACAAUUUUGUAUUAAGAAUCCUAAGCACUACAACUUAAACUCUGCACUAAUCUGCAAUGCAAUUUUUACU